rfam:Oryza barthii chromosome 2, whole genome shotgun sequence.
UUCAAGUCUAAUCAUAAGUUUUCGCGUCUAACUUUAAUCGUUCGUCUUAUUUAAAAAAAAUUAUAAUUGGUAUUUUUUUUGUUAUGUGAUGAUAAAACAUGAAUAGUACUUUACUCGUGACUUACGUUUUUAAUUUUUUUCAAAAAAUUUUUAACUAAGACAGACGGUCAAAGUUGGGUGCGGAAAAUCAUGGCUGCACUUAAA